rnacentral:tRNA from 1 species
AGUAAAGUCAGCUAAUUUCUAAGCUCUUGGUCCCAUACCCCAAACACGAAGGUUAAAAUCCCUCCUUUACUA